rnacentral:rRNA from 1 species
GACAGAGGGUGCAAACGUUGUUCGGAAUUACUGGGCGUAAAGGGUGCGUAGGCGGUCGGGUAAGUCUGAUGUGAAAUCUCACAGCUUAACUGUGAAACUGCAUUGGAUACUAUUCGGCUUGAGAGUUGGAGGGGGGACUGGAAUUCUUGGUGUAGCAGUGAAAUGCGUAGAUAUCAAGAGGAACACCAGUGGCGAAGGCGAGUCCCUGGACAACUUCUGACGCUGAGGCACGAAAGCUAGGGUAGCAAACGGG